rnacentral:rRNA from 1 species
GUCCACGCCGUAAACGUUGGGAACUAGGUGUUGGCGACAUUCCACGUCGUCGGUGCCGCAGCUAACGCAUUAAGUUCCCCGCCUGGGGAGUACGGCCGCAAGGCUAAAACUCAAAGGAAUUGACGGGGCCCGCACAAGCAGCGGAGCAUGUGGCUUAAUUCGACGCAACGCGAAGAACCUUACCAAGGCUUGACAUAUACCGGAAACGGCUAGAGAUAGUCGCCCCCUUGUGGUCGGUAUACAGGUGGUGCAUGGUUGUCGU